UAUGCCUCACACUUACAAAACUGGAGGCUUAAUAUUCACGAAGAAGAAAGUUAUCAUCAAGGGUCAACUUUAGAUGAAGUUCCUGAUGGAGCUGCAAGGCCAUGCACAAAUAAAUUACCCAUUUUCUUUUGUGCAACUCAUGAGACUGUUCUUUUAGGACCAAGGAAUUUAUUUCCCUACUCAGAAAAGGAAAAGUAUAGCAAACCAAUUAAAUGGACAGGUUUUAAUGAAGGCUUCAGGCAGAAAGAUAACAAUCCAAAGUUAAAAAUUUCAAAUCCAUAGACAUCAACUAAACAAUCAAGCACAUCAUCUGAUAUUGAAGUUGAAGUGAAAGGAACUAAUGAUUAAAAGGAAGAUAUUGACCAUGAAGAAAAAGGCAGCAAAAAGGAUAUGACUAAAGUAAUUGACAGAACCACUCUGAGAGCUUCCAGAAUAGAAAGACAGAAAACAAGUAGAAAAUGAGGAUGCAGGAGUUGUGAAAACAUCUCUUAAUCUAAAAAUGAAUCAAAAACAGGCAAAACUGCAACUACAUAAGUCAAGGCUCCAAAAUCAAAGGCAAACCUGAAAUAGUGAAUGGUCUGUCCUUCAGAGAGCAGCAUGGCAAGUGAGGAAGAUAAAAAUAAGAAAAAAAAGGUCAAGAGAAAAGCACCUUAAGGGAUAAAGAGGGCAGAAGGAAGAAGAAAAGCCAAGAAAAAGCUCAAAUAAAGGAAGAAAGAAGUUGAAUAAUAAGUGACAAAAUUACCUCAGCAAGAAUUAUCUCAACAUCUGAUUCUGAAGGAGAAAGAGACGAUCAAGAAGGUGAAAAAAUUAGAAAAAGAGAAAAGAUGAAAAAAUAUUCGGGCUAUUCACAGAUGUAAUAUUCUGAUAGGCCAACAUAAGAAAGAAGCAGCAUCUAUAAAACAUAUGCAAUAGGAACAAAUGGAAACUGUGCAGCAAAAUAAAGACAAAGGAAGAAGCCAGAAGAACAAGAAGUAUCAAUGGAGUCUCAGCUUCCAAGGAUACAUGACUACAUGAAAAACUCACUCAAGAUUGGCAGUCUUGAUGGGAACAGAUAUAUCGAAGCAACAAUACAGGCAACAAGUUCAAAAUCACAGAGAGAUUAUGAGAACACAAAAGAAAUAUAACAAGUCAAAGUUAGUCAGGUACUUAUGAAAAAGUCUACAAUAUUUAAGAAUGUAUUGGUUGGUGAAGGAUUUCCUGUGAUUACACAAGUGCUGAAUAAAUCCUUCACUAAACAUAGUCAGCAUGAGGAAGCCAAUAAAAACAAAGAUUGGGGUGAGAAAAGUACAAACAAAAAGGAAGAGGAAGGAAUAGGUUGAAGGGCUUUAAACAGAGGAUCUGAUGCCAAGAUAACAGUCAGCCACAGCAUAGCAUAAUGGAGACAGCAACGAAACAAGCAAAGACAAGCAUGAGGUCAGCCCCACAGAAAGGCCCACUGGUGAGAGAGACCGGAAAAUC
rnacentral:lncRNA from 10 species